rnacentral:lncRNA from 1 species
CAGACUCUAGGGGAGGGAGCAAUGUUCUCUCCUACCGUUCCAGUGCCUCCAAAGGGGUAAAGCUAGGUUUGUGAUCUCCGCCUUCUUGGUAUUGUAGGCCACACAGGUAGGGUGAUUCCUAAAGUGUAAUCUCUCUGUGUUGACCGAACUCUGCCUUCUGCUCACCAACAUCAGCAGGGAAGAGAGAAGAGCAGUACCAUUUGCCCAAGGAAUGUCCAUCACUCAUCUGGAAUGGCUUAACACUGACCAGGCUGACUUAGGAUGCUGUCACCACAUCAAUCAGAGACAAGAGAAGACAUCAGUUGGAGGGGCUGUUGGCUUAUGGAGUAAUGGUGUGGAAAGCCUUGAGAGGAGAUAGCACCUCGAUGAACACCUCAUCGCACCUCCAGCAUCCCCCCGUCAUGCUGAUUUCCAGACUCAAGUGCUGAGCAGUGAGACCGGCCUCCGUGGUGGCAGCCUAAGGCCAAUCUCUGCAGCAGCAGGAGCAGAUUCUCAUGGCUGGACUCAGAGUUCCCAAUCAGGUAGGAAAAGCAAGGUUAAGUUUCAGAUAAAAAAUGAAAUUAUUAUGGUGCAUUCUAAAACCAGAGUUCUGGAACCAGAGCCAAAGAGCCAACACAGGAAGCAAGCAACAGAUACAAAAAGCCGACAGCUGCAAAUUCCUGGAGAACACGACAAAGGCUGGGAAGAUGCUAGCAGAGAUCUGGCAAAUACUUGUUUUCGCUUUUUCCUCCUACAAUCAACACUAUUAGAUUUUCCUACCAGAGAGUGUGAUAACACUGAGAAGAGGGGCCAACAAAUUAUUUAAAGACAUUGUAGUCUGAGAAUAAACAACAGAAAAUUAGUUGUUGCUGGAAAAUGUCUGUGGCUACUCAACCCAAGGACUGAACAAGGAGAAAGAUUAUUUCAAAGUGAUCAGUAAUGUAUUCAACAGCAAAUUGACCUAUGGAAUUGGAAUUAUUUUUAGAAGAAAAAUUUAAAUGGAUUAAAAUGAGUAGUUUGUAAUCUAUUCUUAUAUUCUAUAAAUAUUAUUUUUAAAUUAAUUUAUUGCAAUAAAUGGUAAAAAAGAAAAGAUGGAAAAUAUUCAAGUACUUGUAUAUCACUCUAUUCAGCAUAUAUAAAAUUAAAAGCAAAAACAGAAAACACUCAUGGAGUGGGAAUGUUGUCAUCAGGAUCAAUGAGCACAAGCUAUUGGAUGUGUCAAGGGUCUGAGCCACAAGCAUGAAAUGUUAAAAGAAGAAAGACACAGACUGUACUCACACUAUAUUUUUUAAAAAAGCACUAGAGGCAUUAAAGACAAAACAGAGAGAGAUGAGAGAGGAAACAAAUAUAUUCAGCGUGAGGGCAAGAUUUAAAUCCUUUCGGAGUUUGCCUUCUCAACAGUGCACUCUAAAUAAAGAGGAAGCAUGUUUGCAAAGGAUGCUACCGAGGAAUAUGAAAUGUUGAAAUUUCUAGGGUUCUUCUUAAGGUACUUGCUAUAAAUGGAAAAAGGCCAGACAAAAGGAGAAAAACAAGUACCUACAGAGGAAAAC